GCCAGUGUGGCCUAGUGGUUUGAGCUUUGGACUAUGACUCUGGAGACAAGGUUCGAUUCCCAAUUUGGCC